AUCCUACGGGAGGCAGCAGUGGGGGAUAUUGCACAAUGGGGGGAACCCUGAUGCAGCGACGCCGCGUGGGUGAAGAAGCGCCUCGGCGCGUAAAGCCCUGUCCGCAGGGAAGAAAAUGACGGUACCUGAAGAAGAAGCCCCGGCUAACUACGUGCCAGCAGCCGCGGCAAUACGUAGGGGGCAAGCGUUAUCCGGAUUUACUGGGUGUAAAGGGGGCGCAGACGGCGAUGCAAGCCAGAUGUGAAAGCCCGGGGCGCAACCCCGGCACUGCAUUUGGAACUG
rnacentral:rRNA from 1 species